rnacentral:rRNA from 1 species
UACGAAGGGGCUAGCGUUGCUCGGAAUUACUGGGCGUAAAGCGCACGUAGGCGGCUUUCUAAGUCGGGGGUGAAAUCCUGGAGCUCAACUCCAGAACUGCCUUCGAUACUGGAAAGCUCGAGUCCGGGAGAGGUGAGUGGAACUGCGAGUGUAGAGGUGAAAUUCGUAGAUAUUAGGAAGAACACCAGUGGCGAAGGCGGCUCACUGGUCCGGUACUGACGCUGAGGUGCGAAAGCGUGGGGAGCAAACAGG